AAUCGGAAUGAGUACACUCUAAACCCUUUAACGAGGAUCAAUUGGAGGGCAAGUCUGGUGCCAGCAGCCGCGGUAAUUCCAGCUCCAAUAGCGUAUAUUAAAGUUGUUGCGGUUAAAAAGCUCGUAGUCGAAUUUGUGUCCCGCGCCGCCGGUUCAUCGCUCGCGGUGUCAACUGGCGUGUCCGCGGGACGUCCUGCCGGUGGGCUUAGCCCAAAUACUGGGCGGCCCAAUCUCAAUCCCACCGCGGUGCUCUUCACUGAGUGUCGAGGUGGGCCGGCACGUUUACUUUGAACAAAUUAGAGUGCUUAAAGCAGGCUAAAACAUCGCCUGAAUACUGUGUGCAUGGAAUAAUGGAAUAGGACCUCGGUUCUAUUUUGUUGGUUUUCGGAACCCCGAGGUAAUGAUUAAUAGGAACGGAUGGGGGCAUUCGUAUUGCGACGUUAGAGGUGAAAUUCUUGGAUCGUCGCAAGACGGACAGAAGCGAAAGCAUUUGCCAAAAACGCUUUCAUUGAUCAAGAACGAAAGUUAGAGGUUCGAAGGCGAUCAGAUACCGCCCUAGUUCUAACCAUAAACGAUGCCAGCUAGCGAUCCGCCGACGUUCCUCCGAUGACUCGGCGGGCAGCUUCCGGGAAACCAAAGCUUUUGGGUUCCGGGGGAAGUAUGGUUGCAAAGCUGAAACUUAAAGGAAUUGACGGAAGGGCACCACCAGGAGUGGAGCCUGCGGCUUAAUUUGACUCAACACGGGAAACCUCACCAGGCCCGGACACCGGAAGGAUUGACAGAUUGAGAGC
rnacentral:rRNA from 1 species